CAAACAACAGGAUCAGCAGGGUCUCCGCGGAGCAGCUCAGACCCUUCCUCGCUCUGGAAACACUCGACCUCAGCAACAACAACAUGGUGGAAAUCAAGGCGGGCUCCUUCCCCGCGCUGGCCCUCAGGAACCUGUACCUCAACAACAAUCGGAUCUCCUCCCUGGAGACGGGCUGCUUCACCAACCUGUCCAGCAGUCUGCAGCUCCUCCGGCUCAACCGCAACCGCCUGGCCUCCAUCCCAGCCAAGAUCUUCACGCUGCCCCACCUGCUGCACCUGGAGCUGAGCAGGAACAGGGUCCGCAGGGUGGAGGG